rfam:Vitis vinifera, whole genome shotgun sequence of line PN40024, unoriented chromosome 15, chr15
GGGGGAUUGAACAAGCUGCCUUCAUCCCAAAAUCAAAAGAGUAGAAGGUGUUACAUCUGCUGGUUCAUGGAUACCUUUGUAGUGUACAGAUUAAUAUAUCUAAUGUCCACUUUAAGGGUUUGCAUGAAUGGGGAGAUGAGGUUGCCUUCUUCACUUAUAAUUUGGUUUGAAGGGAGCUCUGAUAGCCCUUCUC